rnacentral:tRNA from 1 species
UCCAGGGUGGCGAAACGGUAGCCGCACCUCACUGUUAAUGAGGCGCCCGCGAGGGCGUGGGGGUUCGACUCCCUCCCCUGGAG